AUUGAACGCUGGCGGCAGGCCUAACACAUGCAAGUCGAGCGGAUGAAGGGAGCUUGCUCCUGGAUUCAGCGGCGGACGGGUGAGUAAUGCCUAGGAAUCUGCCUGGUAGUGGGGGAUAACGUCCGGACACGGGCGCUAAUACCGCAUACGUCCUGAGGGAGAAAGUGGGGGAUCUUCGGACCUCACGCUAUCAGAUGAGCCUAGGUCGGAUUAGCUAGUUGGUGGGGUAAAGGCCUACCAAGGCGACGAUCCGUAACUGGUCUGAGAGGAUGAUCAGUCACACUGGAACUGAGACACGGUCCAGACUCCUACGGGAGGCAGCAGUGGGGAAUAUUGGACAAUGGGCGAAAGCCUGAUCCAGCCAUGCCGCGUGUGUGAAGAAGGUCUUCGGAUUGUAAAGCACUUUAAGUUGGGAGGAAGGAAAGUAAGUUAAUACCUUGCUGUUUUGACGUUACCAACAGAAUAAGCACCGGCUAACUUCGUG
rnacentral:rRNA from 1 species